rnacentral:rRNA from 1 species
GACGAACGCUGGCGGCGUGCUUAACACAUGCAAGUCGAGCGGAAAGGCCACUUCGGUGGUACUCGAGCGGCGAACGGGUGAGUAACACGUGAGUAAUCUGCCCCUGGCUUUGGGAUAGCCACCGGAAACGGUGAUCAAUACCGGAUACGACCACUUCUCGCAUGGGAUGGUGGUGGAAAGUUUUUUCGGCCAGGGAUGUGCUCGCGGCCUAUCAGCUUGAUGGUGAGGUAAUGGCUCACCAUGGCUUCGACGGGUAGCCGGCCUGAGAGGGUGACCGGUCACACUGGGACUGAGACACGGCCCAGACUCCUACGGGAGGCAGCGGUGGGGAAUAUUGAACAAUGGGCGGAAGCCUGAUUCAGCAACGCCGCGUGAGGGAUGACGGCCUUCGGGUUGUAAACCUCUUUCAGCAGGGACGAAGCGCAAGUGACGGUACCUGCAGAAGAAGCACCGGCCAACUACGUGCCAGCCGCCGCCGUAA